rnacentral:rRNA from 1 species
UUAGCGGAUGACCUGUGGCUGGGGGUGAAAGGCCAAUCAAACCGGGAGAUAGCUGGUUCUCCCCGAAAGCUAUUUAGGUAGCGCCUCGUGAAUUCAUCUCCGGGGGUAGAGCACUGUUUCGGCUAGGGGGCCAUCCCGGCUUACCAACCCGAUGCAAACUGCGAAUACCGGAGAAUGUUAUCACGGGAGACACACGGCGGGUGCUAACGUCCGUCGUGAAGAGGGAAACAACCCAGACCGCCAGCUAAGGUCCCAAAGUCAUGGUUAAGUGGGAAACGAUGUGGGAAGGCCCAGACAGCCAGGAUGUUGGCUUAGAAGCAGCCAUCAUUUAAAGAAAGCGUAAUAGCUCACUGGUCGAGUCGGCCUGCGCGGAAGAUGUAACGGGGCUAAACCAUGCACCGAAGCUGCGGCAGCGAACGUAUCACCCAAGACAACUUUACGGAGUUGACGAUUGACGGAGCGAAGCGACGUCAAAGCGUUCAUUAAAGUCGAGUUGGCUUAGGGAUACGUUCGUUGGGUAGGGGAGCGUUCUGUAAGCCUGUGAAGGUGUGUCGUGAGGC